UAUACAUAGAGGUCCAGAUUUGAAUUAUUUGUUAUAUAAUAAGUCUUGUUACCUAAUAAUAAUUAUGAUCCUUUUCCUUAAAUGAUGAAACAAUUUAAUAAGUUUAUUGUGCAAAGUAGUAAUUAAAGUGUGUGUGUGUGUGCACGUGCGUGCAUGUGUUUUUCAGCAUUUAAACUAACAACCACAUUAUUGAUGGCCUCCACAUGUUCUGAAGAUAACUGUGGAUAUGCAUGGUUUGCUUUACCAGUAGGCUGUUCAGAUUUCCUCAUGAAAGACUUUCAGCUUUUCCACAGAAACUUGAGGCCUGUCUUUUAGAACAAGGAACGGCAGAAUUUCAAGACAUGAUAUGAUCCAUCAUGACAGUGAGGAUAGCUCACAUGGAGCAGUACAGCUGCGGGGAAAUGAGGGCAGGCAGGCAGGCACUCUUUCCGUGGAGAUGCGAGUUCAACAGAUUAAUGUUAAAACAUUGGUGCAGAGAACACACUGUGGCUUCUGCUAUGUCUAAAUAGUUGGCAGGCUGCAGUGGCUACCAUCUGUUUGCGGCGAGAAAGAAAUGGCAGAGUGGUGACCGCAAAAAGGCAAGGUAAUCGUGAUGGGUUCCACUGAGUCUCUGUCUUCCUCCACAAUCAUCAGCAACACGUGGCUAACUGGAGAAAUUACUGUCACAAUUAUCCCUCAGCUGGGCUUAAUACCAUCUAAGCUAGGCAUGCUCUCUCUCUCUCUCUCUCUCUUUCUCCCUGCUUUGCCAUUUUAGGCAUUUUUGGCCUUAAUUGGUUUUGGACUUAAUGUUUUGAACUGUUUUCCAAAUAAUUUCUUAGACUAAAAGCCACAGUUGAGUAAGAUUUAUGCUGGGUAGGCAGAAUAAUAAUCUCAAACUUCUCAAAUAUUUGACCCAAAAGUUAAAUUCUAAAGUGGAUUAAAAAAUGAAAAUCAGUCUAAAAUCUGCUGGCUUUUCAUUUAUCCUUCCUUCUUUAGUAACCAUUUUAUCCUGGUCAUGAUUAUGAAGUAUCCAGCAGUCUGUCCUGGAAACACUGAGUGCAAGGUGGGAGAAUUUACUCUGGGUUGGAUGCCUGUCCAUAACAGAGAACCGUGCACACACUCACACUUCACAUCUUGGUGCAAUUUAGCACAGACAGUCCGCCCUGGUUUUAAACAUUGAGAGGAAAGCCAUUCAAACAUGAGGAGAACAUGCAGACUCCACACAGACAGUAACCCACAGACAGUAAUUCUAGCAGUGGCUCAAACGCUUAAUGCUCUGGGUAGCUGAUCAGAAGGUCGAGGGUUUAAGCAUUGCCAUGCUGCCACUGUUGGGCCCUUGAGCAAAGCUUUUAACCCUCUCUGCUCCAGGGGUGCUAUUUCAUGACUGGCCCUGCACUCUGACCCCAGCUUUCUAGAAGAAUAAGAAUUUUGCUGUAGUAAAGUAUAUGUGAUAAAUAAUGGCUUCUUCUUCUAACCUGAGCUCAGGAGUGGACAUGGGACCCUGGAACUGUGAGACAGCAACACAGUGCCACUGUGUCACUCAAACUGUUCUUCAUUUGAGGAAUAAUGCAAUUUUACUUUUAUAUUACUUAACUAGUUCUUAAAUUGUUAUUGCUGAGGAGUUUAGCUACAGGAUAUGGUUUCUAAUGAGAGAGGCUUUGUUUCUGAGCACUUUCAUUCUGUCAUCUUCAGCAGGUGCAUUAUCCUGGUCACAUUGCUUAUUAAUAAAAUGUCUUCAAAUUAGUAUGGGAUGCUUCUUCUCCCAUGUGCUUUCUCCGGUUUCUCCAAUUUCCUCCCAUUUACCAAACAAAUGGCAGUUGAUGGAUUGACUGUGCGUGAAUGUGUGCUAAUGUGUUUGCAUGGUUCCCUGCAAUGGACUGAUCCAGGAUGUAUUCCUGCCUUGUGUCCAGUGUUCCCACAAUAGGCUCUGGAUCCAUCGCAAAUCCCUGACCAUGAUAAAGCAGUUACUGAAGAUGAAGAAAUCAGUGAAGGUAACCAAAUGUCAGUGCACUUGAAUGAAAUUUUAGUCUCCUAGGUUCAGUGCACAAAGAUCUUGGCUGACCGACUAUGUUUGGGGAACGGAGGAAAAUGUGUAAAUGUAAACCUUCCCACUGAAAACUUUUUUUCUUUACUGUUGAAAGAAACUCAAAGCAUUGGUAAACCAUUCAAAUAUUACACUUGUGUUCAACCAAAUCCGAAUACCUGGAGAGGGUAACACUUUUCGCAACUUUUGCAUUUCAAUAAAAAAAAAAAUCAAAACCCAACAAAACACUUGUAUUUUGGAUUUGGAUUCUGCCUGUGGCAUGAGCUCCAUAUGCAUUGGUUUUGUUCUGAGGGGGAAUGUGGGUGCCAAAAUUUCUUGGACAGGGGGAUCACAGUCCUUUGGGGCCUUUUGGUAUGGGAAUGGGAAGAGCACAGGGCCUUGCUACGCUCAGGAAACCCAUCCCAGUUACAUGUGUACUGUGUUAAGAUUGACCACUUACCCCUGGCUCAGCAUGGGAUGUAAUCAGAAGAGAUUUAUGAGCUUGGCUUUGUAACCCCAAACGUCUUGGAGACAGCCCUGCCAUUUUUCACCUCUGACAGAUCAGGCACUGACAUUUUUCACAUUGCUUGUCUUAAUGCUUGGCUCUCCAUAGUGACGCAGAACAUCCUUCUAUGUUUCUGCAGAAAUCAGUGGAAGCGGUAGAAGACACUGGUAGGCUCUCUGUAACACAACACUCUAUGACCCACAGUAAGAAACCCUAGAACACUAGCAUUAUAAAGAUAAUAUCAUACAUGUUGCAGAUCUAAGAUCUCAUGUACCGUAAGCCUAUGCACAAUGUUGUGAGCUUUUGUCAUUUUUUUUAAACAGUUGAAUGUUUGUCUAAAAUGCAAGUGCUGCUAGAAGCCAUUCACAUGACAUGUUUUUGUUUUUAAAAAGACCAACCCAUGCAGUAAAAGUGAACAUUCUAAAGGUGUUUAUGGCUCUGGCAUUAAUUCCAGUAUUGUAUCUUAUUGUUUUCAUGCAUGGAGCGAACUACAGCCGCCCAAAUACAUCACCAUCUAGAAAUCUUGAAUGCAUUAACCAUAUUUUAUUCACAUUGCAUUUCUCUAUAGUCCGCUAUAUAUUAUUAUAUGUUUAUUAUAUUUCAUUGUAUCCUAUUUUUAUUAUGUGU